GGUGGGCGUGCCAAAUGCUCCAGGCACGCCCCUGACUGCAUCCAUAACUUUGUGCUUCCGAAACCCCUACGAUACGUUGUAGUAGUUUUGAUACUUGGUGGGUCACUUUUUUUAAGGGCUGAUGCUGAUGGAAAAACCCUCCUUGGGUGACGUUAACCCGAAGUACGCCUCUGAUCAUGAUUGGCUACAUCCCCAUCUGGAUUGAUGACUACUCACUGG